rnacentral:rRNA from 1 species
GACGAACGCUGGCGGCGUGCUUAACACAUGCAAGUCGAACGAUGAAGCCUUUCGGGGUGGAUUAGUGGCGAACGGGUGAGUAACACGUGGGUAAUCUGCCCUGCACUCUGGGAUAAGCCCGGGAAACUGGGUCUAAUACCGGAUAUGACUACUGGCCGCAUGGUUGGUGGUGGAAAGUUCCGGCGGUGCAGGAUGAACCCGCGGCCUAUCAGCUUGUUGGUGGGGUAAUGGCCUACCAAGGCGA